rnacentral:ncRNA from 1 species
CACGCCCAGACCGAGUAGGAAACGAAAGCAGUGGCAAAAAAGUAAAUAAGGAACACUUGACCUUCCUUUAUUGGUAAAUUUACACGCCGACAGCGAUUGACGGACGCUGCUUGCAUGGCAAGGACGGCGCAGCCUUGUUUCAUGUCAAUCGCUUAUGUACAUAGCGGCGCAAAAUAUUGUAUGCGGAGUGUUUAAUUUUAUGACAAGUGAA